rnacentral:rRNA from 1 species
GACCUGGGCUACACACGUGCUACAAUGGACAGAACAAAGGGCAGCGAAACCGCGAGGUUAAGCCAAUCCCACAAAUCUGUUCUCAGUUCGGAUCGCAGUCUGCAACUCGACUGCGUGAAGCUGGAAUCGCUAGUAAUCGCGGAUCAGCAUGCCGCGGUGAAUACGUUCCCGGGCCUUGUACACACCGCCCGUCACACCACGAGAGUUUGUAACACCCGAAGUCGGUGAGGUAACCUUUUAGGAGCCAGCCGCCGAAGGUGGGACAGAUGAUUGGGGUGAAGUCGUAACAAGGUAGCCGUAUCGGAAGGUGCGGUUGGAACACCU